GAGGGUAUAGCUCAAGUGGUAGAGUGCGUGCUUAGCAUGCAUGAGGUCCUAGGUUCAACCCCUAGUAGCUUCU
rnacentral:tRNA from 1 species